AUUGAACGCUGGCGGCAGGCCUAACACAUGCAAGUCGAACGGUAACAGGAAGAAGCUUGCUUCUUUGCUGACGAGUGGCGGACGGGUGAGUAAUGUCUGGGAAACUGCCUGAUGGAGGGGGAUAACUACUGGAAACGGUAGCUAAUACCGCAUAACGUCGCAAGACCAAAGAGGGGGACCUUCGGGCCUCUUGCCAUCGGAUGUGCCCAGAUGGGAUUAGCUAGUAGGUGGGGUAACGGCUCACCUAGGCGACGAUCCCUAGCUGGUCUGAGAGGAUGACGAGCCACACGGGAACUGAGACACGGUCCAGACUCCUACGGGAGGCAGCAGUGGGGAAUAUUGCACAAUGGGCGCAAGCCUGAUGCAGCCAUGCGGCGUGUAUGAAGAAGGCCUUCGGGUUGUAAAGUACUUUCAGCGGGGAGGAAGGGAGUAAAGUUAAUACCUUGGCUCAUUGACGUUACCCGCAGAAGAAGCACCGGCUAACUCCGUG
rnacentral:rRNA from 1 species